UACGUAGGGGGCAAGCGUUGUCCGGAAUCAUUGGGCGUAAAGCGCGUGUAGGCGGCUCGAUAAGUCUGCUGUGAAAGUUCAGGGCUCAACCCUGAAAUGCCGGUGGAAACUGUCGAGCUAGAGUACGGAAGAGGUGAGUGGAAUUCCUGGUGUAGCGGUGAAAUGCGCAGAUAUCAGGAGGAACACCAACGGCGAAGGCGGCUCUCUGGAACGAAACUGACGCUGAGACGCGAAAGCGUGGGGAGCAAACAGG
rnacentral:rRNA from 1 species